CGGAGGGUAGUUUAGUUUAAAAUGCUUGCUUUGGGGGCAAAUGAUGGAGUGGUUACUCUCUCUCUGA
rnacentral:tRNA from 1 species